rnacentral:lncRNA from 1 species
GCCAACAAAAUUAUAAAAAAAAUAUUUAAAUAGUAAAAAAUAUGUUAAUUUAACGUGUUAAAAUUUAAAAAUAAAGUUUAAUUAUGACAUGCAUCUUAACAUUUAUAUAAAUAUAUAUCAUAACUUAACUAUAAAUAAUUUAGCAACUUAAAUUAGAAAAAAAAUAAAAAUCCCGGGCAUAGCCCGGGUUAAUCCCUAGUAUAAAAGAUAGUCAAGGUUCAACAUUCAUAAAAAGUUACAUAAGACAAGGUUAAGAGUUUUAAGUCUAAAAAGACUAUCAAAGGACCUUGUUACAAAAAGAGGUUAUAAGAUAAAGUACCAACUUCUAAAUGCCAUUGGGAGG